GGUAAACAAUAAAUUCUUAAUCUGUUUUUAUUUCGAUAUUUCCUUUUUAGCUCUAUUUUUCAUUACUAAAAAUUCUUUUUAUAUUUUCAGCGAUGAUCGCGACUGUCACCGAGGGAACCUCCUUCAGGGAUUUCACCAAGGAAAAAGAAUGGUCAUGAUUGCAUCGGAUGGACCAGUUCCCCAGGCGUCCGUAACAAAAUUUGCGGCUUAUUGGGAUACAUUCCCAAUAAGACGCAAAAAUAAAAAGGAACUUUUUUGGGUCGCCUGGGAACUAGAGUCGUUUCUCAUUUGCAACAGGCCAUUGCUCAGGAGAAGAAAAAAGUAUAGACACAGUGGUGUCGGAACUGAGUGAAUGAUUAGGUUGCAAAUUAGGAGUGGCAAGGAACCAUGUGGGGAAAAACCCACGUUCAAAGCCGGGCAAAAAAAAAAAAAAAUGUAUUUACUAAGUACAUGUUAGUUCAAGAACCAUCGAUGCCUUUCUUCCAGCUUAGUACACUCGUGAAGCAAGAUUUGGUAUGCAAUUGUGUCGUUUAUUCGCCCUUGAACUUCCCUGUGAAUCUUGAAAAGAGAGGAUAGUUUUAUUUCACGACCGGAGAAGUAUUAGUGGUGUCGUGUUGAGUAUCUUUCACUCCAUCACAGCAUUGAAUUUUUGCGUGAGCGGAUUUGAAUGCAAAGUGCAUUUUGUUUAUUGUGAACGAAUUCAUGGGAUAAAUAAGAUCAGCGAUGAAUAUUACCUGUCCCAGAGGGGUGUAUCUGAUCACUUUAUUAGAAGUCGCGUUAUAGUUACAGUGAAGAUAAGUAGCUUAUAUGUAUAUAAUCUCUUUCCUCAUUAAUACUUUUCUUUUUUUUUUUUCGGAUUACCUGUUGUCAAAGGAUUAUGGAGUGUUAUACAGGCGAACGGCAAUAGUGAAGCACGAUUGGGAACAACUUGAUUUUAUCAACGAAUUUAAUAAUUAGGAUUCACUUAAUAUCCAUGAAUUGUUGGGACAAAUUAUUUUGAAACAGGGUGUUUCGGAUUUCUGGUGGUUUAUUUUUUUCUUCUAUUAAAAAUUUUCAAGAUUCGUGAAAAUUUUGUUUUUCUAAUUUAUUUUUAACGGCGAAUGCAAACACCUUAUUAAAUAAACACACGACGAUAAGGAAUACAUAGAGACGGUAUAAAGACAACGAUACCCAAUUGGUACUCUCGGCCUAUUUUGAAAAUAUUUCGUAUCUAAAAGAAUUCUCGAACAUUUGAAUGAUGCAUAUUUGGGACUUUGGAAAAUCGAAGGAACGUUAACACCUGAACAGUCUACAUUUUGAGAUGUGGAUCGGAUAAGUCUAUCCGAGAUCAGAGGAAAACAUAAUACCUUGCCUGGUUUCUAUAUCUAAAUUUAGUUGUUGUUGGACUAGUAGCUCUCUCUACUUCCCUUUUCCAGGUUUAGAUUUCGUGUGACAUUAUUUCUCAACUUUAAUUUAUCCGGUUUCAAUAAAAAAAAGUAAUCAGCGUUCAACAUGUAAGCAGUUUUCAACAAUAAAUGUACAAACAAAUAUCAACAAUAAACUAAAGUGGUGAGUUUUUGAACAAAUUCCUUUUUGUUUUCUCAGAAAACCAAACUAAAUCAAAAAUUAACCUAAAUAAGUAAAUAAGUAAACUAUAUUGUAACAAAAACAAAAAAAAAUAAAUUAAUAAAUAACUGUAACUUUAACGAAAAUUGAAAUUG